GACGGACGCUGGCGGCGUGCUUAACACAUGCAAGUCGAACGGAAAGGGCCUGCUUUUUUGUGGUGCUCGAGUGGCGAACGUGUGAGUAACACGUGAGUAACCUUCCCUUUACUUUGUGAUAACUUCAGGCAACUGGUGCUAAUACCUGCUAGGAGCUUCUGCUGCAUGGUGGGGGUUGGAAAGUUUCGGCGGUUGGGGAUGGACGCGCGGCUUAUCAGCUUGUGGGUGGGGUAGUGGCUUACCAAGGCUUUGAAGGGUAGCCGGCCUGAGAGGGUGACCGGCGACAUUGGGACUGAGAUACGGACCAGAGUGGUACGGGAGGCAGCAGUGGGGAAUAUUGCACAAUGGGGGGAAGCCUGAUGCAGCAACGCCGCGUGCGGGAUGACGGCCUUCGGGUUGUAAACCGCUUUCGCCUGUGACGAAGCGGGAGUGACGGUAAUGGGUAAAGAAGCACCGGCUAACUACGUG
rnacentral:rRNA from 1 species